rnacentral:rRNA from 1 species
AGGAUUAGAUACCCGGGUAGUCCCAGCUGUAAACGAUGCAGGCUAGGUGUUUGGACGGCCACGUGCCGUUCUAGUGCCGCAGGGAAGCUGUUAAGCCUGCCGCCUGGGGAGUACGAUCGCAAGAUUGAAACUUAAAGGAAUUGGCGGGGGAGCACCACAAGGGGUGAAGCUUGCGGUUUAAUUGGAGUCAACGCCGGAAAUCUCACCGGGAGCGACAGCAGUAUGAAGGCCAGAUUAAAGGUCUUGCUAGACGAGCUGAGAGGAGGUGCAUGGCCGUCGCCAGUUCGUGCCGUGAGGUGUCCUGUUAAGUCAGGCAACGAUCGAGACCCGCGUCCUCUGUUGCUACUAGCCUUGUGCUGGGCACACUGAGGAGACCGCCACUGAUAAAGUGGAGGAAGGAGCGGGCCACGGCAGGUCAGUAUGCCCCGAAUCUCCCGGGCCACACGCGAGCUGCAAUGGCAGGUACAAUGGGUUCCGACCUCGAAAGGGGAAGGCAAUCUCGAAAGCCUGCCGUAGUUGGGAUCGAGGGCUGAAACCCGCCCUCGUGGACAUGGAACCCCUAGUAAUCGCGUGUCAUUAGCGCGCAGUGAAUACGUCCCUGCUCCUUGCACACACCGCCCGUCGUUCCAUCCGAGCGACUCUUGGGUGAGGCGCCGUCUUUCAUGGCGGUGUCGAAUCUAACUUUCGUAAGGAGGGAAAAGUCGUAACAAG